UUUAAUCAAUAUAACAACUAAUUAUUUUUUGUUUCUAAAAUUUGUUUAUAUUUAAUAGUUUUCUUGUAGUGGAUGUUAUUAGGAGUGUUUGUGUGGGUUUCAUCGACGCUAUGUAAGUGAUGGAGAUCAAGCUCAAGAGGACAUGGAGGCCAAUCAACAAGAUCAAGAAGAGGUGGAGGCACAAAUGGAGGACGCCCAUGGAGGUCAAAGUCCACCUCAAAGGAUUACAAGAAGCAUGUUCAAAGCUUUGGGAGCUAGAGGACAUUUAUUUUCUCUUUUUGUAAUUUCUUUAGUUAGAGGUGCUUAGAGGGAAACAUUAGAAACCUCUUUUGUUUUAGCAUCUUUUAGGCUUUAGUUAGGAGCUUUAGGAGGGGGGGUGUAUUAGUAGAUAGGUGUAGGAGUAAAUAAGGAGGUGCCAAAGUGAGAGAAGGGAUCACACCUUCCUCAUGCUUUGUUUUAGGCGCAAAUUCUAGAAGCUUUUUAGGAGGGAGUUUUUGAAUUUGUGUAGCUUACUUUUCAGCACCUUAGGCUAUAAAUAGAGGUGCUCUCUUUGUAAAAUUCAGAUUGGAAUUAAUCUAAGAAAACUCUACUCAAAUUUUGAGUGACCUUUGGAGAGCUUUUGGAGCCUUCUUCUCUAGUCUUAUCUUGAUGGAUCAAUGGAGUCCUCAAGUGGCGGCAUCACUCUCAUCUAGGAGCAUUCCACACUUCUAGUGGCGAGAUCAUCCAUCCUCCUUCCAUCUUCAUGAGCAUUCUCUUCUCCUUCCUUUCUUCUUCUUCAAUUGUUCAUGUUGCUUUGUGUUCUUGAGUUUUUCAGUUUUGGUUUUUCUAUUUUCCAGCACUUUGUUCUGUUUUGUUCUUAAUUUUGUUCGGUUCAUAUGAAUUGUUGUUUAAUUUUGUUCGGUCAUUCCAGUUUUCAUUCCUUUGUUGAUUCAAUUUGACAAUAUUUGGUUCAUCCAAAUGAGUUUGGAUUUGGUACUAGUUUUUGGUGAGUUCUUGUCUUAGAACAAUGAUCCAACUCUAAGAAAAGUGCCUCUAUAUUUUCCAGCUCAAGGUGAUUCCUAAAAAUGUCAAGAAUCUUGUUCUAUGUGGCUAUUGGAAUCACAUCAGUAAGGCUUAUUACUAAAGAUACGAGGUUUUCCCUAAAUUUCUCUAAAACCAAAUCCCUAGUUCGAGAAACCCAAAAUCGCACCUCCAAAUCUUCUUCAGUUGUUCCUUCUUCGAUUCCUUCCUUCCACCAUUUCUUCGUUCUCCCAUUUCUUCCUUAUUGUGGUUAGUGUAGUAGGGAGAGGUGAGAAAGUGAGAAAUCCAAAUCGAUUUGAGUGUUUGAAAUCAGGUUUUGUCUUGGUUGAGCGAAUCGGGUUUCAAAUCCAUUACCAUGGAUAGGAGGCCAAACAGGUUGG
rnacentral:lncRNA from 1 species